rfam:Medicago truncatula strain A17 chromosome 7, whole genome shotgun sequence.
AAACAGCUCCCUAUGUAUUGGAUCUUUGGCAGUUUUGGCCCCCCAAGGCCACUUUUGACUUGGCACAGGUGCCACGUCAGCGAAGACCAAGUCAAAAGUGGCAUUGGGGGGCCAAAACUGCCAAAGAUCCAAUACAUAGGGGGCUGUUU